AGACUAUAGUCGGGAUCCAACACCUCAUCCUUUAGACUAACUAGUGGGCCAUUUAUGGAUUAGUGUCUUUGUCCGGUUCAAUGUUGUCUGGGCCAUAGGUUUGAUAGAUGCAUUAACACCUUAUCCUUAGUCAAUCAAUCCACCUUAUGGUUUAAUGUCCUAUGAACAAUAUGGGUAUUAUGCUUUUGUGAGAAGAACAAUGUAAGCAAAGAUUUGACACUCUAGCUUAGCACCUUGUAUUCUCUUAUGUUCUUAGUUUCUUCAUGAUAUUUUGUGUCUAUCUUGGUUCCAUUUUGUGUCUUAAACUCUUGCAUAUUGUUGUGGAUCUUCGAUUAGUCUUAUAAUGUCUUUUCUUGCGGUGUUGAUCAUCUUGAUCACUGCCAUUUUGUGUCUUAGACUCCUGACUUCGGAAAAGUAGGGCAACAAGGGAGAAUGUCUUGUCUUAGACUCUUUUCUUGCGGUAAUGAUUUAGUUUUGGUAUAAGUAGAUAUUCGAAACUAGGGGAGCAUGUGUUGCCACUAAAUCCUAGCUGAAUUGGUGCAAUGGGAGUUGACCGACGGACUCAACAUUUAGAAGCCAAUCGACGGAGGCAAUAAAGUGUCCCAAUUGGAUGUGUAUCUGUCGAUAUGUAUCAGUUAAAUAGAGUUAGUUAGGAAGUGUCUAAUGUUUAGAGUCUAUGAACUAUAAAAUGGACAUUUCUCAUUAUCAAUAAACAGAAGACAAAUGUUCCCAAGC
rnacentral:lncRNA from 7 species